CAACCCUGAGGAGAGGGGUUGGGGAUGUUCCUUCUGUCACCCAAAACCCUCAGGCCGAGCUGAGCGAUGAUCCCAACUCGGCUGAGCUGGAGGAAGAGCUUUGGGGGGAGAAAGGGGGAAAAAAGGGAGAAAUCAAGGACCUUUCAAACCAGCCAGGUGGAUUUGGAGGUUUGUUGGGAUGUUCUAAUGUGGAGGGAACCCAGUUGGGGUGGAAAUGAGGGGGAAAGGGCUGUUUGGGGCUCCCCUGGGCUGGGUGGGGUUUGGUUUGGGGUUUUUUUUUGGUUUAAGUUCAGACCCAAAGGUGAAAUCCCUGACUGGUACCUCUGUGGGUCUGGAGCUGAUGGGGAGAACUCUCAGUGGAGCUGGGGAGGACUUGGAAAACCGGGAUAUGUUGGAAUUCAGGAUCUGACCUGCACCUCCUCCUUUCAAAGUCUCUCUUCCUUCUUCCAGGACUCGAAGACCCUUCACGUCUCCGAACGCCAACUCCAGAGCAAGGUGGUGCCACCUCCCCGUGCCAGCUUCCCACCCCGGGAUCUCCCAGACCCCUUUGGUGCCAUGAAGACCCCUCAGGACAUGAAGCCUGAGGGAGAGGCCGAAAGCCAGGACUCCUCCCUGGGCCUGUCCCCCUCCCAGCCCUCAGAGCUGGGCUACCUGAACGUGGCCUCCCCGGGGGACACCACGGCCUCCCCGCUGCAGGAGGAGAGCAGGAGCGUCGGCUCGGAGACCUUCUGAGCUGGGAAUUCUGUGCAGAGUCACCUGGAUGCAGGACUGGGACUCCUGAGCUGGGAAUUCUGUGCAGAGUCACCUGGAUGCAGGACUGGGACUCCUGAGCUGGGAAUUCUGUGCAGAGUCACCUGGAUGCAGGACUGGGGCUCCUGAGCUGGGAAUUCUGUGCAGUGUCACCCUGGGGCUCCUGGGAAUGUUGUGCAGAGUCACCUGGAUGCAGGACUGGGGCUCCUGGUGCCGUGGGAUGACAGAGACUGCAAAGAGAAGAAUUGCCAAAUGGACUGACCUAGGGAUUUCUGGGAUAUUUUCCAGCUGAGUUAAUCCAGAGUGUUGUUUUUUUUUUUUCCACGUACCCCCUGUAAAGGUGUUUGUGUCAUCCCAGAGACACUGGAGGUUGGAAUGUGUAGAUAAACUCAUAAACAUGGAAGAGGGGUGGGGUGAAGUGUGUCUUCCCUCAACCCUAAUUCCUUGUCCAGGCCAAAUCUAUAAAUUUUAUAAAGAAAAGAAAUUAAUGUUCACUGGUUCUUAAUUACAUCAUUCUCUUUCAUUAGCCAGUAUUUUACUUCUAUUGGUUAUUGAUUUCUCAAUUUCUGUGUUAAUUAAAUCCACAUUUUUAGUACCUUUUUUCCUAGAAGGGGCUUUCCAGCACAUGGACUGAAUUCUUUGUUAAUUCUUUUCCCUAUCUUCUGGUUUCUACAAAAGGUCCUUGGUUAGGUGGGAUAUUGGGAAAAAUUCCUCCCUGUGAGGAUGGGGAGGGGCUGGGAUGGAAUUCCCAGAGAAGCUGUGGCUGCCCCAUCCCUGGGAGUGUCCAAGGCCAGGUUGGAGCAACCUGGGAUAGCAAAGUUGUCCCUGCCGUGGGUGGAACAAGCUGAACCUUAAUGUCCCUUCCCACCCAAAGCAUUCCAUGAAUCCAUGAUUCUCUGCUCAGCUGUUGCCAACCAGCAACCCCAGGUCCUUUUCCACGAGUGUGGAAGAAUUACUGGGGGAAAAUGACUGAGACUGAAGU
ensembl:lncRNA